rnacentral:tRNA from 1 species
UCCCUGGCAGUCCAGUGGUUAAGACUCUGCGCUUCCACCGCAGCGGGCACAGGUUCGAUCUCUGGUUGGGGAA